AAAACUAUACUGUGAGGGAUCGUUUCUAUAGUUCGUUACUAGAGAAGUUUCUCUGAACGUGUAGAGUUCCUGAAACCAGGAGGAGGAGGAGGCACGGCGUCCCCUUUCCCGAGCGUGAAGCAGACCCUGGGUCUUCUUUUUGCAACUGCGCUUGGUCACUGAUGAUCGGUCUUCUUCAAAGAAGCUAGAGGGAAUGGAUGCUGUCUGAGC
ensembl:snoRNA U3 Small nucleolar RNA U3